rnacentral:rRNA from 1 species
UACGUAGGGUGCAAGCGUUGUCCGGAAUUAUUGGGCGUAAAGAGCUCGUAGGUGGUCUGUCGCGUCUGCUGUGAAAACUCAGGGCUUAACCCUGAGCUUGCAGUGGGUACGGGCAGACUAGAGUGCGGUAGGGGAGACUGGAAUUCCUGGUGUAGCGGUGAAAUGCGCAGAUAUCAGGAGGAACACCGGUGGCGAAGGCGGGGUCUCUGGGGCCGUAACUGACG